UGCUUGGCGGCGGCUACCAUGCAGUCGAGCGGUAACAGGGGUAGCUUGCUACCCGCUGACGAGCGGCGGACGGGUGAGUAAUGCAUAGGAAUCUGCCCGAUAGUGGGGGAUAACCUGGGGAAACCCAGGCUAAUACCGCAUACGUCCUACGGGAGAAAGGGGGCUUCGGCUCCCGCUAUUGGAUGAGCCUAUGUCGGAUUAGCUAGUUGGUGAGGUAAUGGCUUACCAAGGCAACGAUCCGUAGCUGGUCUGAGAGGAUGAUCAGCCACAUCGGGACUGAGACACGGCCCGAACUCCUACGGGAGGCAGCAGUGGGGAAUAUUGGACAAUGGGGGCAACCCUGAUCCAGCCAUGCCGCGUGUGUGAAGAAGGCCCUCGGGUUGUAAAGCACUUUCAGCGAGGAAGAACGCCUAUCGGUUAAUACCCGGUAGGAAAGACAUCACUCGCAGAAGAAGCACCGGCUAACUCCGUGCCAGCAGCCGCGGUAAUACGGAGGGUGCAAGCGUUAAUCGGAAUUACUGGGCGUAAAGCGCGCGUAGGUGGCUUGAUAAGCCGGUUGUGAAAGCCCCGGGCUCAACCUGGGAACGGCAUCCGGAACUGUCAGGCUAGAGUGCAGGAGAGGAAGGUAGAAUUCCCGGUGUAGCGGUGAAAUGCGUAGAGAUCGGGAGGAAUACCAGUGGCGAAGGCGGCCUUCUGGACUGACACUGACACUGAGGUGCGAAAGCGUGGGUAGCAAACAGGAUUAGUCCCG
rnacentral:rRNA from 1 species